AUUGAACGCUGGCGGCAUGCCUUACACAUGCAAGUCGAACGGUAACGGGCCUGCGGGUGCCGACGAGUGGCGAACGGGUGAGUAAUGCAUCGGAACGUACCUUUCAGUGGGGGAUAACGUAGCGAAAGUUACGCUAAUACCGCAUAUUCUGUGGGCAGGAAAGCAGGGGAUCGCAAGACCUUGCGCUGAUUGAGCGGCCGAUGUCAGAUUAGCUAGUUGGUGCGGUAAAGGCUCACCAAGGCGACGAUCUGUAGCGGGUCUGAGAGGAUGAUCCGCCACACUGAAACUGAGACACGGUCCAGACUCCUACGGGAGGCAGCAGUGGGGAAUUUUGGACAAUGGGGGCAACCCUGAUCCAGCCAUGCCGCGUGAGUGAAGAAGGCCUUCGGGUUGUAAAGCUCUUUCGGCCGGGAAGAAAUCGCACGGGCUAAUACCCUGUGUGGAUGACGGUACCGGAAUAAGAAGCGCCGGCUAACUACGUGCCAGCCGCCGCCGUAAUAC
rnacentral:rRNA from 1 species